CGCUAGCGGCAGGCUUAACACAUGCAAGUCGAGGGGUAACAUUGUAGCUUGCUACAGAUGACGACCGGCGCACGGGUGCGUAACGCGUAUAGAACCUACCUUUUACAGGGGAAUAGCCCAGAGAAAUUUGGAUUAAUGCCCCAUAGUAUUGUUGAAUGGCAUCGUUUAACAAUUAAACAUUUAUGGGUAAAAGAUGGCUAUGCGUUCUAUUAGCUAGAUGGUAAGGUAACGGCUUACCAUGGCGACGAUAGAUAGGGGUCCUGAGAGGGAGAUCCCCCACACUGGUACUGAGACACGGACCAGACUCCUACGGGAGGCAGCAGUGAGGAAUAUUGGACAAUGGAGGCAACUCUGAUCCAGCCAUGCCGCGUGCAGGAAGACGGCCCUAUGGGUUGUAAACUGCUUUUAUAUAGGAAGAAACCUUUCCACGUGUGGAAAGUUGACGGUACUGUAAGAAUAAGGAUCGGCUAACUCCGUGCCAGCAGCCGCGGUAAUACGGAGGAUCCAAGCGUUAUCCGGAAUCAUUGGGUUUAAAGGGUCCGUAGGUGGAUAAUUAAGUCAGGGGUGAAAGUUUGGCGGCUCAACCGUAAAAUUGCCUUUGAUACUGGUUAUCUUGAGUUAUUGUGAAGUAGUUAGAAUAUGUAGUGUAGCGGUGAAAUGCAUAGAUAUUACAUAGAAUACCAAUUGCGAAGGCAGAUUACUAACAAUAUACUGACACUGAUGGACGAAAGCGUGGGUAGCGAACAGGAUUAGAUACCCUGGUAGUCCACGCCGUAAACGAUGGAUACUAGCUGUUGGGCUUCGGCUCAGUGGCUAAGCGAAAGUGAUAAGUAUCCCACCUGGGGAGUACGUUCGCAAGAAUGAAACUCAAAGGAAUUGACGGGGGCCCGCACAAGCGGUGGAGCAUGUGGUUUAAUUCGAUGAUACGCGAGGAACCUUACCAGGGCUUAAAUGUAGAUUGACAGGUUUAGAGAUAGACUUUUCUUCGGACAAUUUACAAGGUGCUGCAUGGUUGUCGUCAGCUCGUGCCGUGAGGUGUCAGGUUAAGUCCUAUAACGAGCGCAACCCCUGUUGUUAGUUGCCAGCGAGUCAUGUCGGGAACUCUAACAAGACUGCCAGUGCAAACUGUGAGGAAGGUGGGGAUGACGUCAAAUCAUCACGGCCCUUACGGGCUGAGCUACACACGUGCUACAAUGGUAGGUACAGAGAGCAGCCACUGGGUGACCAGGAGCGAAUCUAUAAAACCUAUCACAGUUCGGAUCGGAGUCUGCAACUCGACUCCGUGAAGCUGGAAUCGCUAGUAAUCGGAUAUCAGCCAUGAUCCGGUGAAUACGUUCCCGCCCUU
rnacentral:rRNA from 1 species